CCUACGGGAGGCAGCAGUCGAGAAUCAUUCACAAUGGGGGAAACCCUGAUGGUGCGACGCCGCGUGGGGGAAUGAAGGUCUUCGGAUUGUAAACCCCUGUCAUGUGGGAGCAAAUUAAAAAGAUAGUACCACAAGAGGAAGAGACGGCUAACUCUGUGCCAGCAGCCGCGGUAAUACAGAGGUCUCAAGCGUUGUUCGGAAUCACUGGGCGUAAAGCGUGCGUAGGCUGUUUCGUAAGUCGUGUGUGAAAGGCGCGGGCUCAACCCGCGGACGGCACAUGAUACUGCGAGACUAGAGUAAGGGAGGGGGAACGGGAAUUCUAGGUGUAGCAGUGAAAUGCGUAGAUAUCGAGAGGAACACUCGUGGCGAAGGCGGGUUCCUGGACAUUAACUGACGCUGAGGCACGAAGGCCAGGGGAGCGAAAGGGAUUAGAUACCCGAGUAGUC
rnacentral:rRNA from 1 species